AGUAUUUCACUACCUCUCAGGGUGCCUUCAACACCAGUACCACCACUCCUGUAGCACCACCCUUUGCCGGAGCUAUUGUCACCUCUGGCUUCACACCCAAACCAAAGCUCUAAUCACUUCCAAAAGAAGCGGUCGAUGGUGUCAUAAUGCUCUCCGUGCUACAAUCCUCUUCCACCAUCCAGUAUGGCCGUGAUAGCAACUCCACAAUCUAGAAGACCCCUUGAGGAAUUGCAGCAUCCAGCAUAUUCCUAGGAAGAAAUUCAAGAAACUUAUUUUGGUUUGGUGCCCUUGGCCUUCAUUACUGCUGUAAAAACUGCGCUGCUCCAUUUGCUGAAAUCUGCAAUCAAACAGUUUCUAGGAGAAAACUGUUACGGUUCUAUGAAAGCUACAGCGAUCCCAUCUAAGAAAGCAAAGUACUUUGACUAAUCUGAGCCAGUCCAAAACAGAGUCUACAAGUCCCUGAAGGUGUGGUCUAUGUUGGCAGACCUUGAGGAGAGCCUUGGUACUUUCCAGGUAUGCACAUAAAUUUGUGAAUAAUGAUAAAAAUCAGAGACCGAUCCAUAGUUUUCUGUUCAUCCCAUUUGUCUUGUUAUUUUAUUUUUAAUCAUCAGUCUACAAAAGCAUGUACGACCGGAUUAUUGAUCUACGCACUCUACGGCACUCCUCACUGUUAGAGGAGUAUGGAUUAGCGCGACAUGCCAUGGCUGUCUAUGAAAGACCAACACAGGCCGUGGAAAUGGAUGAGAGACACCAUAUGUUUAAUAUCUACAUCAAGAGAGCAGCUGAAAUUUAUGGAGUUACAUAUACCAGAGCUAUUUACCUAUUGAGGUGAAAGCAAAUUUCUGGCAGACCUGGAAUUUUGAGAUCCGGCAUGGAAAUGAGGAUACAAUUAGGGAAAUGUUGAGAAUCAAACGCAGUGUCCAGGCUACGUACAACACUCAGGUCAACUUUAUGUCCUCUCAAAUGCUGAAGGCUUCAACCAGCACCGGUAAGAAAAAGCAGAUUUCACAGUUGGACCCUCAGUCGUGUAUUUUUUUUUUUUUUAACAUUAAAUCUUUGUAUCUGGUUAAUUCGCUCCGGGAAGCCUCUGAUGGUUUUACCAUUGUUGAAAGGCUGUAAUACUUCA